rnacentral:tRNA from 2 species
GGCACUUUGGCCGAGUGGUCUAAGGCGCCGUGUUCAGGCUCAGAGUCGCUCUCGCAGCAGCUCUCCCUCUUCGCGGUCUAGUAAUAGGCGAGGGUUCGAAUCCCUCAGGUGUCA